UGCAAUAUUUGAUUAAAAUCUUUGAUUAUGAAAUUGCUUACUUCUUUUAUUUUAAGAGCUAAAUUUUUCUGUUCAAGUUUAUACACAGACUGAUCUAAAUUUCUGCUGGCAUUUUCUAUUGGUAAAAUAAUAUUUUUAAAUACUUUCUGUGAACAAUAAACGAAGCUAUUUCCAGUUUGUGGUUUUAUUGAUGGUUAGAAGCACAUCGGGGAAAAUUAGUUUCAAUUUUGAUGCUAUGUCUGAAACUCUUCUAUACCCUGAUGAUGGUAUUUUGUCUUUUUCUUAACUGAAGGAUAAACUGAAUUUGAAUUGAGUUCGAAAAGGAAUUUCAGUUUAUUUGGUUUGAAAAUGAAGUUUUUUUUCAUAAAUAUAAACAAUGCACCACAUCUUGCGGGGAAAAAAAUGAUACUGCACCAUUCUUUCUCCUCGCGCUAACGGGCGUGUUUCGCUACUUGGUUUAAUGCUUUAGGGAAGACCAAAGAGAAGAGAGAGGGACAAAAGAAUAUUUUUUUUUAUGUCGAAAAAUUUGUCUUAAGAGUAAACAACGAGGAUUUGUUGUCUUGGUGGCCUAAAAGUUUUAUGUUAUUGAGGUGAGUUAUUAUAAUAAGUUACGAAUCGUCGUAUGUUGAAUAAUUUCGUACAUUUAAAGUUCGAUACUUCUGAAUGCCCUACAAUAUAUAAAUACAGUGAGGUUUCAUCUAUUUUUUAGUCAUUUCUAUAAAUGCAAUCAUGUAUAGUUUAAAAUAAUAUCCUGAAAUAAUGAGGCUUGAAUGACCCUGGUAAUUGAUCAUGAAAGGACAUUUUAUGCUAAUAAUCUUCAUGUAUGAAAUAUAACUAUACUAAUAAUUAAGGGGGAUAAUUUUGGUAAGAAUAGAAAAGCGUGCGAGCAGAAGAGAAGAAAUACUUAUGGCAUCAUUGAUUAAAUAAUAUACAUCUUCUUCUAUCAAUCAAGAACGUCAU
rnacentral:lncRNA from 1 species